rnacentral:rRNA from 1 species
UACAUAGCUUAAUGAGGGGAACUCAGGGAACUGAAACAUCUAAGUACCUGAAGGAAGAGAAAGAAAUUCGAUUCCGUAAGUAGCGGCGAGCGAACGCGGAUUAGCCCAAACCAAUAAAGUUUUCUUUAUUGGGGUUGCGGACAUAUCAUAACGAAGAGGUAUCGUAAUUGAAGAGGUUUGGAAAGACCCACCACAGAAGGUAAUAGUCCUGUAUGUUAAACGAGAAGACUUUAGAUAUGAUCCAGAGUACCACGGGACACGUGAAACCCUGUGGGAAGCAGGAGGGACCACCCUCCAAGGCUAAAUACUACCUAGUGACCGAUAGCGUAUAGUACCGUGAGGGAAAGGUGAAAAGAACCCCGGGAGGGGAGUGAAAUAGAACCUGAAACCCUGCACUUACAAGCUGUGGAAGCACAUUUCUUGUGUGACCGCGUACUUUUUGUAGAACGGGCCAACGAGUUACGUUAAGUAGCAAGGUUAAGCACUUAAGGUGUGGAGCCGUAGCGAAAGCGAGUUUUAACUGAGCGUUCAGUUACUUGACGUAGACCCGAAACCGGGCGACCUACCCAUGAGCAGGAUGAAGCGAAAGUAAAAUUUCGUGGAGGUCCGAACCCACGAGCGUUGAAAAGCUCGGGGAGGACUUGUGGGUAGCGGUGAAAUUCCAAUCGAG